ACAAAAACAUCUUUUCUUGUUAGUUUUUGAAGUAUGGCCUGCCCACUGACAUUUGAGUUGAAGGGCCGCGGUAUUUUGACCGUGCAAAGGUAGCAUAAUCAUUAGUUCUUUAAUUGUGAUCUGGUAUGAAUGGCUUGACGAGAUAUAAACUGUCUUAAAGGUAUUUAUUGAAAUUGGGGUUUGAGUUAAAAUUCUUAAAUGUUUUUAUGGGACGAGAAGACCCUAUAGAGUUUGACAUUCAUUUUUCUAUAUUUUAGUUUGUUUUUGUUUAUUAGUUGAGUGAGUGUUUUGUUGGGGUGAUGGGAGGAAUUUUUUUAACUCCUCUUUAUUUUUAUAUAUUUAUAUAUAUUUGUUUGAUCCAUUUAUUUUGAUUAUAAGAUUAAAUUACCUUAGGGAUAACAGCGUUAUCUUCCCUGAGAGUUCUUAUUGGCGGGGAGGUUUGCGACCUCGAUGUUGGAUUAAGGUGAAUUUUCGGUGCAGAAGCUGAAAUUG
rnacentral:rRNA from 1 species